AGGCAGUCGGGAAGACACUGAUUCUUACCCUGGCUCUGCCUGUAACAUACAGUGUACUCAUGGCAAGGUACUUGGACAAUUUCUCAGAUUCCAAAAGAAGAGCAGAUUGCUACCCAUAAAACUAAGCAGCAUCAACGUGAAAUUACUGGAAGAAUCCGAAAGUCUUUGCAGAAAUGUGACUGGCACUGGCCAAACUCAGUUUGCCAUACCAGAAGAUUUGCAGUGGUGGCAUUAAAUCACACACAUGCCAUGAAAAGCAGAGGAGAGUA